ensembl:lncRNA novel transcript
ACUUAUUCAUUACUACAAAUUCCCCACCACGCAGAAAAGAGAAACUGAUAUUUUGGCACAUCUCUAAAUCACCAAUUUAUCUACCAAAAUUUCUUCUAAAAAUGCAUUCAGUUCUCUGCAGCCAUAGAGGAAGAGAAAUGUUUCCUACUUUUUUUAACCCAGUAAUAUUCCCAUAACUAGGCCCUGAGGUUCUGUUUGAAACCACUCCCAAAAUAUACAGAUCUGAAAAACUUAUUACACGUGUCAAGGGAAAACGAAAGAAUUUUUAACAAAUAUACCAUUAGACAUUUUUUAAGUUUACAUAUUUAUGCCUCUUUGAGAAUAUUCUCCUAUCUUUCAAACUCUACCAAUAAAAUGCAUUGUACAGUUAAUAAAAUGGAAGUUGAAAUAAAUAAACAUUUUUUUCAAGAUGACAAACCC